rnacentral:lncRNA from 1 species
GUUAUUAGAUUUUAUGAGCCGUUAAUCUGGUAGGGCCGAGUUAUUACGGUGUAGAUCGAUUCUUGAUCUGUUAGAUAAAAAAUGAUUUAAAUAAAAUACAUAUAAAUUAGGGACAAUUAAUCUGGUAGGUCCGAUUUAUAACAGUUUAGAUCUAUCUAAACUUUUUUUGAAACUUACUAUUACACAUGCAUACGUGAACCAUUAUACAUUACCAAAUUGGUCACGGCCAUUACACCUGUCAAUGACCAUAAAAAAAGUCCUAAUUACCUUAACG